rnacentral:rRNA from 1 species
CUUUCCCUCUUUCUUCCUGCUUUACACAUGCAAGUCGGACGGCAGCACAGAGAAGCUUGCUUCUUGGGUGGCGCGUGGCGCACGGGUGAGUAAUAUAUCGGAACGUACCGAGUAAUGGGGGAUAACUAAUAGAAAGAUUAGCUAAUACCGCAUAUUCUCUGAGGAGGAAAGCAGGGGACCUUCGGGCCUUGCGUUAUUAGAGCGGCCGAUAUCUGAUUAGCUAGUUGGUGGGGUAAAGGCCUACCGAGGCGACGAUCAGUAGCGGGUCUGAGAGGAUGAUCCGCCACACUGGGACUGAGACACGGCCCAGACUCCUACGGGAGGCAGCAGUGGGGAAUUUUGGACAAUGGGCGCAAGCCUGAUCCAGCCAUGCCGCGUGUCUGAAGAAGGCCUUCGGGUUGUAAAGGACUUUUGUCAGGGAAGAAAAGGCUGUUGCUAAUACCGACAGCUUAUGACGGUACCUGAAGAAUAAGCACCGGCUAACUACGUG